rnacentral:tRNA from 1 species
GUUGUGGCUCAGCGGUAGAGAGCUUGCCUUGCACCCGUGUGACGCUGGGUUCGAUCCUCAGCACAACA